GUGUCAUUGAAAAAUAAACUAAAUGCCGUUAAUGCAUAGUGUAUUAUUUUGGAUAAUGGUGAUUGGUAUUCCUUGCCUAGUAUGGAUGAUCGAUUAUUUGAUUACUUUUGCCUUGCGACUUUCACCUGCUGGGGGAGGGGGCGCGCUGCUCAGAUAAUACAGAGACUCAGCAGAUAUUGCAGCAGCUCCGUGUCCUGUGUCUUUUAUUGACUAUAUCUCCCCUAACCAGGCGGUCAGGGUACUACAUUUUGGAGGCCCCAGCGAGGAUGAAUGCAGUGCGAGUUGGCUUCCAGUGACGACAGCCCUCCUCCAGUGCCAUUCAGCCUUAUACUCAGCCCAGGUGACCAGUGGAGUGAAGACGUUCGGUGUCCGUGUCGAGCCAGGAAGGAAAGUGCAAGCAGUCUGAGGUUUAUUUUCGAUACCAGGAACGCUGCAGGAUUCCAGCCUGCUAAGGGCAUUUCUUCUAUCACUUUGCAUACAUCGAGACUGAGUAACUCAUGGAUCACGUAGAGGAUCUGAAGCUUGAGGUUAUAGGAGCAGUAUAUGCUCUUUCACAAGAAAACUUGAUCGAACUCUGUAAAUUCCUAGGAAUUGAUUGUGAACAUGUCAGUAGCAAAAGCCGGUCAUUUUUUAUUUCUUUGAUUGUGAGACACAUUGAGAGAGAGGCAUUAGAGGAGCUUGAAGAUGAGGGUAUGGCAGAGCUUUUGUGUCUAAAAGACAAAAUCUGUGAAAUUCAGAGUGUUAAUGAAAACAGUGAUUCAGAAAGACAGACAGCACCAACCACUAAGAUAGUGAAUGUAAAUCCAGUAGCAGAAACAACAGUAGCAGAAAACACAGAGCAGGAAAAACUGCAAAAAGAAAUUGACAAAUUACAAUCAGCAUUACAGAAGUUAAUAGAGCAAAAACAGAGAGCAGCUAAUCACACACCACAACACACGGGUACACAACAGAACAUAAGUACCAUACAGAGUUAUUCUACAUUGCCAAGUCCAAAUGUACGGCCAGACACAAGCUCUGAUUUGCAGUUCAUGACACACAGACCAGUCAUGCCACCCUGGAACAGAGAAUUCAAGAUAUCAGGACAGAUAGGUGAACCUGGACAAAAAG
ensembl:lncRNA